rnacentral:ncRNA from 1 species
UGAGUGUUUGCUUCUAGCACACUAUCAGCUCUCUCUGGGCUUACACAUGUUACUAAAGUGGUGUAGGGAGUAUGGUUCGUGGUUGGUGGAUAAUUACCUAAAUGGUUUUGUUCGUUUAUCGUAACUUUUAGAGUAAGUGAUGUGCUAUAACUUUUAGGAGGUCCCCCUGCUUCAGUGGUUAAAAUUGUAGACCCCGUAUACGGGAGUUCAGCUUUGAUGGAGAAGAAGAGGGAGGUAAUAAAGUGCCAGCACCUGCGGUUAAACUUUUUCCUCUAGUUGAUAGGCUUUCGUGGUAAAGUAUCAAUAAGUUUUGUAGGGCGUAUUGCUAAUUAUAUUGGUUAAAUGAGUUAUUAAUUUCACAAGCUUUAUGGCUUGAGCGAGUGUUAUGUACCCUUUACUUUGUAAUCUUAAAAGGCUGUUGUUAGAGACGGGGAUUAGACACCCCCUUAUUGAUGUUGUCUUGAAUUCCACGGUUAGUACGGGCGUUUUGUUUAAAAUCCAAAGAAGUUGGCGGUGUUCCACACCACGUGAGGGGAACUUGGCGGUUAAUUCGAUAGUCCUCGAGGACUUUACCUUUUCUUUACUUGACAUACCGCCGUUGUCAGUUAUCCUUUUGUUGGAAUAGAUGAUUGCAGGAAAUGUAAAAGUUAUUUAUACUAUAGUUGCUUAGUCCAUUUGAAUUCAGGUAAACGUGUUGGUUACGAAAAGGGCUUAGCUGAGUUACAUUUACUAAGUAAUACGGAUAUUUUACGGUUGAAAUACCGUGUUGAAGGCGUACUUCAUAGUAAUGUUUUUUAUUGAGGAAAUGUGAAUUGUGUUAAUGGAAUGUGUACAAAUCGCCCGGCACCCCUAUACGAACAAAAAUUUGGGUAAGUCGUAACACAGUAAUGCUACCAGAAGGUGGUUUUGUUUAG